rnacentral:rRNA from 1 species
GACGAACGCUGGCGGCGUGCUUAACACAUGCAAGUCGAACGGAAAGGCCCUGCUUUUGUGGGGUGCUCGGGUGGCGAACGGGUGAGUAACACGUGAGUAACCUGCCCUUGACUUUGGGGUAACUUCAGGAAACUGGGGCUAAUACCGGACAGGAGCUCCUGCUGCAUGGUGGGGGUUGGAAAGUUUCGGCGGUUGGGGAUGGACUCGCGGCUUAUCAGCUUGUUGGUGGGGUAGUGGCUUACCAAGGCUUUGACGGGUAGCCGGCCUGAGAGGGUGACCGGCCACAUUGGGACUGAGAUACGGCCCAGACUCCUACGGGAGGCAGCAGUGGGGAAUAUUGCACAAUGGGCGGAAGCCUGAUGCAGCAACGCCGCGUGCGGGAUGACGGCCUUCGGGUUGUAAACCGCUUUCGCCUGUGACGAAGCGUGAGUGACGGUAAUGGGUAAAGAAGCACCGGCUAACUACGU